AGAAAGAAAAAUUUACAUGAGAACAAGAAAUCUCAUAUUGGAGUGAAUGUUUGCUCUGGGUGGAAGAGAACAGAAUGGAAGGGGGAACAAGUCAUACAGACAUCAUAUGUAUCUAAAACAUUUAAUUUUCAAAACUAGCAGGUAAAUGUAUUUUUUUUUAGUUUCUAUGUUUAUUAAUUUAGUUCUAUGUUUAUCAGUCUAUGUUUUCAUUUGCUAGACCUAUUUAAUCAUUACCCAAAUCCUGUGGGUGUAUACUAUAAAUGAAUGAAGCCAACUUUAGUUAAUAUUCUUUGACUGUGAUGAAAUAUCCCGACAAAGGCGACUUGAGGGGCAAGAGUUUAUUCUGGAUCACAGUUCAAGUUAUAGUCCAUCAUGGUGGUGGGACUUGAGCUGCUCACGUGGUGUCCACAGUCAGGAACCAGAGAGAAGAAAGCAGCUGCUGAGCUCACUUCCUCCUUAUACAGUCCAGGACCUUAGGGAAUGGUGCCACCCACAGAGGGCAAGUCUUCCCACUUCAGCUAACCUAAUUAAGAUUCCCCCUGCACCUGCAAACUCAGGGGCACCUCUCACAGUUAACCCUAGAUCUCAUCAGGAUGCCAAUUGAGAUUAACUUUCACCAACCCUGAGGGUGUGGAUUCUGGCUCUACAGCCAGUUUGAAGUUAACGUAAAUUAAGGCAUUGAAUUUCUUGUAAUCUUUGUAUCCUCAUCCAUAAGGAUAAGGACAACAGUGUCCACCUUAUAGGAUCACUGUCAUGAUUAACGGGGAUAACAUAUGCAAAAUUCCCAGCUUACUGCUUAGGAGCCAACAAGCCCUCAAGGGAUCACAGAGCCUUCGUUGUGAAUUUCGGGAACAACAGGGUGUGGUCCUAUAAACUGCCCUGUGUGCUGCACCACGAUUCAAGGGGGCUGCAUUCUUUUCUAUUUGAAAACUCAGAUCAAGGUCCUUCUCUGCAUACAAGAGCGAUGAAUGCUCGAUGCAGAAAGUACUUAAAAAUAUGAGAAUAUACAGGGACGAAAAUUAAAAUGUUGCUGUGAUUUUGGCAGAAUUUAUAAACGAAUAUAAAUUACGUAAUGACAUCACUUCUGGCUGUGUUAAUAUUCUAGUGGCUAGACGAGGGUUGACUUAUUUAUUAUAUUGACUGUGGGAUAUUUGGUUUGUUUCUCUAAUGUUUAAUUGCUAUGAUUAAUGCUAUAGUAGGCAUCUUUGUUCUGAUAUAUAUUCUUGUAUGAUUUCUUUGUGCAAAAUAUUUGUGGAAAUUUUAAUUAAAUAUUAUGUAUGUUUUAUGACAUAUAAUACACACAGAGAAAGAGAAUUCUUUGGGUACCAUGGUGAGGAGUCUCUAGCCAUGGUGAGGUAAUAAUCUAGCUAUGGUGAGGAGUCCUAUAUUCCCCCAAAUUACUUUUCAAUAGGGGAACUGCAGCAGACAUGGAUCUGCAACAGGGGACUAGCCACUUUGAUGAGUGAGGAAUAUCAGGGACAUGCUACAGAGCAGGACUUGCACAGGCCAAUGAAAGCAAACUUCAACAGACUCCAUGCAGGGAGAAUCUCAUUCAACUUCUUAAGUGUAGUUUCUAUCUACAGCCAACUAGAUGCAGACACCAGCUAGAAAUGAUCCGGUACCCAGACCGUGGGUUUUCUGAAUGGAGGUCUUGUGGUGACUUAGUUGGAAAGCUAAUGGGGUAGAAACAAGUGUCACAUCUCUGGCUGACCUUGAGAUGUGAUUUUCUUGUGUCUUGGCUACUCACCUUGUACCUGUCCUCCCUUCUAGCAUGUGGGUUCUUAGGUCCACUUUCAACUGCCUAAAUGGGGAGACGAAGGGCAUUUCGACAGAGGACCCUGCCCGUAUGGGAACACCUUGCUCCAUUGACUCAGAAGAGCGUUGCUGGGUUUACAAGCGGAGAGUACUAAUCUGGAAAACGUCUCCCCUCGGCUGAAAUAGGAGAUCUAUUUCCUUAUCCCUCCCCCCCAGACCAUUGUGUCAGAAUGUUGGGCAUUCUAUCAACAAUAAAUUACAAGUCCUGUGCUACAGACAAUGCUAUUACUCAGUUGAGGGACCGACGGCUUCGUAACCAAGCUGGUUCGCAUGUCGACGGCGGAUGCUUUCUUGCUGUAUUCAAUUUCAAAGGAAUGAAAGAAAGGCCUUUACGCUCACUGCAGUGCACGCCCAGACUGACCCCCGAAAAUUUCUUCCUUCCUCGCGUCCUGGGUUUUUUUUCCAGGAGAGAUCACAAAGGUGAGAUGGAUGCUUUCAACAAAUCUUGAAGAGAGGAUUGUGUCAGAAAUCAGAACUUGGCCACUUUAUGUUACCCUGUGAUGUACGAGGCCUCACUCAUGACAGCCAGGCCCGGGCAGUGGGGUCAUUUCCUCGGGCAGCAGCCUGUUAUGGGACUCUGACGAAUGUGCCCAGUUCUCAUUUGACUCAAGGGGUGGGCUGUGAGGCCUUGCCUUCGUGCUUCCCAGGUAACUGCUGACAGCAAUAAUUUAUAGCUUCAUGCUCGGUGAAAUGGCCUUUCUGUGAGAAUGACCUCCCACAAAUGCACCAUGAAGGCCACUGUGGACCCAAUCAUUGUCAUAAUUGUUUUAUAUUUUCCACUAAUCAAGGGCAUAACCCCAAGGUAGAUACCAUUAUCUGUUAUUAUAGCCUUGCUCGGUGUACGAAGCCACCGAGGCACAGAGCUUACCCUGCUUAAAGACGUAGCUCACACGAACGCAGGCAGUUUGGUUCAAUCUUUUAUGCUUUUGGCAACUACACUGUGUUGCUGCAAUGCUGCCCUACUGGAGAGCUGGAAUGGAGGCUAAACACGCAUCCGAUUGUCUUAGUUUACAGCGACUUAACAGAGGGGAGGCUGCGCGGUGAGUCUCCCAUAAACACUUUCUGCUAGUUGGUCAAAGGAUGAGGUGGACAGAAACGCCCCCACAGUUUGUUCAAACUAACAACGGAAGUCCCGCUGUCAGUGAACCUGGGGUCAGGAGAGGAAGGGAAGACUAAUUUCAGCUUGGCUAUGGGGUGGCGGGUAAAGUGUCAAUCUAAAACAGGGAGGAGGUCAGUCACCCGAGAUGGCUGCACCAACGCAGUGUUCGGGGGUCCCCGUAGAGCUACCCUUAUGACAGCCACCUAGCCCUGACAUCAUAUCUGGAAGUCUUCGAGCCACGUUAGUGAAUUACCUUGACGGAAAUAAAGGAGUCUAAAGUCUCAAGUCACGAUCUGGUUUCCAGCGAGCUGUGAUAGGGAAGUUAAUUAAAACUAGGAAUUGAAUUUUUUUCUUUUUAAGAGAAGUGGCCAUUGAGUGUUAAUCAGCUGUAAAGAAGGGAGCAGAAAGCCAGGGGAAUCUAUAAAACCGCUCUGCCCUGUAAGCACAGUUACUUCACCUCUGACCUCCGUAGCUGAGCAAGGAUUUGGCUCCGGCAAUCUUCUCUGGGAAGCCAGCGGUUUGAACUGCUGCCACCAGCAAAUGAGUUUUCUCUACCGAGAAUGAAUUCUCCUGAAGUGCUGAAACAAAGGUCUGUGUCCCGGGUGGCUAUUAUUUAUUUGCUGGAGAUGCUGCGAAAUAUCCCCUACUGUUUUCCCUGGGUCUGGGAACUGUGAGCCAUGGUACUUAGCCUCAGGUCUAACGGAAUGAAGCUCACCAAAGGGAGAAAGUGGCGGGGUGAGGGACAAGAAAUAUGAAAAGCGCCUACUAAUACAGGCCUCGAAGUAAGCGAGUCAUAAAAGCGAACAAGCCUUGUUUACUGACCUCCUCCCGUCUUGAGGAUGGGGCACAGGACUGAAUUAACUCUACAGCAGUGGUGUUCGGGGCAGACAAGGGAGGGGGCCGGUUUGGGGUGGUUCUGAGACCUUCUCUCAGUGAGCAGCAGUGAGUGACCAAACAGCAGCUGCGGGUUUACAUUCUGGUUUCCGGUUCUCUCCAGUCAAGAGUCUGAGCUUUUGCGUGACAAUGUAAUACACAUAGAUCACUGUGAAAACGGCCUCAUGUCCCACUGCAUUGUCAGUGCGGUAGGGAGCCUUGCUGCCUUAGUCUGUAGGAAAAAACAGGGAGAACUGGCUUCUCUCAUUCACGGUUUUUACAUUUUAGUAAUAAUCUUCUUUGCGGAAAUCAGGUUUAUAGGGUGAUCAACAGAGAAAUAUUUAUAAUGCAAAAGCCAAGACUUUGGUAAAAUAAAUCUUGGUAUUUUCUUAGAAUACUAUGCUUGAAAUGACUAUGUGCAGAUAUCUUUAGCAAAGAAAAGAGUUCUGAAUAUUGGGAAAUUUUCUUUUUCCUUUUUUUUUGGUUUGAGUAUCGUGCUUAGUGAAAAGUACUGUGGAAUAAUUAACACGAGUAAGUUGGUUUCCUAAGAGGGUUUCUAACAUAAUGAUGCUCAGAUGAAAGCCUGGGCCACUGAGAUGAGAGGCGGUGGUUAAAGGUGCUUGCAGCCCACACCUGAGUUCAAUCCCCAGGACCCAGAAAAAGGUGGGAAGAGAGAAAGUGGUUUCUCAGAGUGGUCACCUGACGGCAACACAGCAUGUGUGCACACACAACAAAAAGACACUCAGUAAUAGUAAUGACAAUAACGAUGUCUAGAAAUACCAUGCAUGCAAAAUACCAACAAGGUGCUGGAGAGAAGGCUGCAAGCUGGGUGUGGUGGAGCACGCCUUUAAUCCCAGCAUUUGGGAGGCAGAGGCAGACAGGUCUCUGUGAACUGGAAGCCAGCCUGGUUUACAUUGGGAGUUCCAGAACAACCAAACCAAGGCUACAUAGUGUGUGUGUGUGUGUGUGUGUGUGUGUGUGUGUGUGUGACAGAGAGAGAGAGAGAGGGAGGGAAGGAGAGAGAGAGAGAGAG